rnacentral:lncRNA from 1 species
AUGGCCAUGGAUUUCUCCCUACAAUCAAAAACUGCAGGAGAGGUGCUCCAGCCCUUUGAUGUCCAAUUUACCUCAACUCCUUUCCAAGUGGGGACUCACCAUUUUGUAAAGCAUCACGGAUCAUGCUUUCCCAGACUGCCAUGUAGUUGGCUGACAGGAAGAGAUGUCUCUUCGACUUUAUCCAGAAUUGCAUCAGAACAGGAAGCCACCAAGAAGCCACAAUUUUUGACAUCACCCCCAGCUUUUUUCCUUGCUGCCUUUUUUUUUUUUUUUUUUUUUUUUUAACGUGUCAUACCUGCAGAGUUGAAGAACAUCCCCCGAUUGUCCAUUUCCUUUCCUUUGGAUUGGGAAGUGCUCACAUAUAAAUACACAUACAUUAAUGUAUACAAAAAAAGACCAAGGCAACACAGUCUGUGAAUAUAGAAAACCAGAAGAAUGUGUGUAGGCAUAACAAGGAAAAGCCCCAAAGGGGUUCCCAGGAAAGACCCCAGGAACCAGAAUAAACAGCCAAUCAGCCUGUGAAUAAGAAACUGU